rnacentral:lncRNA from 1 species
CGACUGAUUCACCCCCAGCUCUGUGAGCUGUGCAUAGAGGCGCUGGAGCGGCACGUCAUCCAGGCUGUCAACACCAGCCCCGAGCGGGGAGGCGAGGAGGCCCUGCAUGCCUUCCUGCUCGUGCACUCCAAGCUGCUGGCAUUCUACUCUAGAAGUACAUUGCUCCUUGAGGGCAGGGGCCAGGCUCCACACUCCUUUAACCUGCCUGCCCCGUCUCCUGCUGGGCAUGUGCUGAUGGGUGGCCAUGCUCCUGUGUCUGCAGCCACAGUGCCAGCUCCCUGCGCCCGGCCGACCUGCUUGCCCUCAUCCUCCUGGUUCAGGACCUCUACCCCAGCGAGAGCACAGCAGAGGACGACAUUCAG